AUUACUGUGGAUUGUUUUUCGACGAGGACGACGGACGAGUCGUGAGUGCGUCGCGAAGUGUGUGUAGGGGUAAAGAAGAAGCAGCUAACGCAAAGAAAAAAGAAGAAAACGUCAAAGGCAGAAGGAAAGAACAGCAAUAAAAAAAAGCGGCGACAAAACGUAAUUCUUUGCGCGCAGCAGCUGAACGCAGGCAAAUAUUUAUUUGCAACAACACGACACGCUUUGACCAAAUGUGGUAAAAAUAGCAGAGAAGCACAAAAAGCAGCCGCCGUCGACGUCGUCGUCGUGUUGUUUUUGCUCGCCGACGCCGACUCAAAAAAACCCACACAGGAGCAGUAAAAAAAAAUAUAGUAUAAAAAAUAACCAAAAGUGGAGCGAAUCAUUUCGGUUAGCAAAAAGUUAGCACACAACGUGCAGCGUACGAAACACGCGUGAGGAGCGAAAAAGAAUAACACAAAAAAAGCAAAAAAAAGUGCAAGUGCAAAGCCGCCAAACACGCACAGACACACACACACACGCAUAGCUCCCACACAAAUACACACAAACAGAGCAGCGAAACAAUGUCACGACGUCGCCCUCCGCCCUUAGCCCCCAUUAAUCGGACUCCGGAAACGGUGCUUGUGCCACCACGUAAUCUAGACUCGAGGGCAACCAUACAGAUUGGCGAGCAAACAUUUGACAUCGAUGCCGACAGUUUGGAGAAGAUUUGCGAUUUGGGACGCGGCGCCUAUGGCAUCGUGGAGAAGAUGCGACACCGGCAAACCGGGACAGUUCUUGCCGUCAAACGCAUACCGAUGACCGUGAAUUAUCGGGAACAGCAGCGACUCAUCAUGGAUCUGGACAUAUCGAUGCGUUCCAGCGAUUGCCCCUAUACGGUUCAUUUCUAUGGCGCCAUGUAUCGCGAGGGCGAUGUCUGGAUCUGCAUGGAGGUGAUGAACACCAGUCUGGACAAAUUCUAUCCCAAAGUGUUCAAAAAUAAGCAAACCAUGGAGGAAACGGUGCUCGGCAAGAUUGCGAUGAGCGUGGUCAGCGCUUUGCAUUAUCUGCAUGCCCAGCUGCGGGUGAUUCAUCGUGAUGUAAAGCCCUCCAAUAUAUUGAUAAAUCGCAGUGGCCAGGUCAAGAUUUGUGACUUUGGCAUCUCAGGUUAUCUCGUCGAUUCGGUGGCCAAGACCAUAGAUGCCGGCUGCAAGCCGUAUAUGGCACCGGAACGCAUCGAUCCGCAAGGAAAUCCUGCACAGUACGAUAUACGCUCCGAUGUGUGGUCGCUGGGCAUUAGUAUGAUUGAAAUGGCCACCGGUCAGUAUCCCUACAACAAAUGGCGAACGCCCUUCGAACAGUUGCGUCAGGUUGUUGAGGAUGAUCCACCACGCUUGACAGCUGGUUCGUUUUCACCAGAGUUCGAGAGCUUUAUCGCCACAUGCUUGCAAAAGGAGUAUACGGCGCGACCCAACUACGAGCAGUUGCUGCAGCACAGCUUUAUCGUCGAGCAUUUACAGCGCAACACGGACAUCUCGGAGUUUGUCGCCAGGAUAUUGGAUCUGCCAGAUGAGCAGUCACCGCAGUAGGCGGCGGAUGACUCGAGGGUGGGGGUGAAUUAUGUAUAUCGCCCCCCCCUCCCAGCAUAUUUGUACUAUCCCCCAAAACAAACGAAACAAAACAAAAAGGAAAAAGAAAAAAAUGUAAAUUGCCGCCAGAUGAAAGAAAAACACAACUCACUGUAAUAUGAAGCAAAGCAAAGCGAAGCGGAUGGAAAACUAAGAACUUAAGUAUAUUAAUAGUUUAUAAUGAUGAUGAUGAAAAUGUAAAACUGAUGAAGAAACAGCAAAUUGUGUGCAUUGGGUUUCCCCCCCCGCGAAUUCAAUUCGAUUAUUAUAUUCAAAACAAAUACAAGAAAAGAAAAAAGAAAACAAAUGAAAUGCUUUAUUAAUAAUAUACACACUAAACAUACAUACAUACAGCAUACAUACAUACAUACCUAUUUGCAUUACUUAGUACAACAUGUACAAACAACACGAAAUUGUUGUAAAAACACAGCAUGAAACUAAAAUCAAAACAAUGUGAAGAUAUAAAAAAAAUGCAACAAAAUGUCCAGCAAAAUGUUUGUGGGCACGUGGAAUUGAGACACGGUUGUCAAUUACAUAUACUAUA